rnacentral:rRNA from 1 species
CCCUUAGAUGUUCUGGGCUGCACGCGCGCUACACUGAUGCGUUCAACGAGUGUAUAACCUUGCCCGAUAGGGUUGGGUAAUCUUUUGAACACGCAUCGUGAUGGGGAUAGAUUAUUGCAAUUAUUAAUCUUCAACGAGGAAUUCCUAGUAAUGAUGAAUCAUCAGUUCAUCGUGAUUACGUCCCUGCCCUUUGUACACACCGCCCGUCGCUACUACCGAUUGAACGUUUUAGUGAGGUAUUUGGACUGGACCUUCGGAGGUUCGCGCCUCCGUUGCUGUUCGGGAAGACUCCCAAACUUGAGCGUUUAGAGGAAGUAAAAGUCGUAACA